GCCUCUACUUGCUUGUGACUUUUGUCUUUAGUGCACUUGAUUUAAAUAGCUACAAUCAAAAUUUUCUGAUCAGCUUGAAAUGAAAUGAUUCUGAUGAUCGGAAACCAUCAGAAUCAGGUGUGUUGCAGCACACCUUUUUUUCCGACAUAGAGAAUAGCAUCCAAAGAACCAAUGAUAAAAAAACAACAAUGGUCUAACCUGGCGGUGCCCAAAUCCAGUUCUCAUAUCCUGCUACCUUUAGAUGUGUCUCUUCUCCAACACACCUGAUUCAAAUGAACUGCUUCUUAGGCCUCUGCAGAGCUCAGUGGCGUGUUGCUCAGGGAUUGACUGCAAGGACUCUGUAAACCCAAAAGAGGAGCAGAAAGUGGAUUUUCUCAUGGAUUUGAACGGCCUGGAACAAGCAAACCUGAAUGCUAAGGAAUGUAACCCUCAUAAGGAACUAAUUGGUUCCCCAACUGAGAGAACCCAACAUGCUGAUAACAUUGGAACAGAGUCUGAACCUCACUGGAUGGAGUCCUCUUGUGCUUUCCCUAUGCAAUUAGCCUACAUGCCUGAAGAUAAAUGGAUGAUGGAGGAUCCGGAGGUGAGAACACACACUAAUUUUCAAGACAACUUGCUGCAUUCAAGCUGCACAGUAGAGGGUGCUGUUGCUCAGGAAAUGGCAGACAGAGAUGUCAGCAUGUCGUUCCCUCCAGUUAUGAAUAGCGCUGACCUGCAGGUCCCUUCGCCAGUCAGAGCCACUGCUGGUCCUGAGUUAUGCAGCUUCGUAGCUGAUGCAUGCGCUCCCUUUGGUUCUUCAAGCAACUGUGCCUGUUGCUCUGACCACUGUCCAGUCAGCGCUGCAGCACACCUACACCUCCUGGGAGAGUCCAUGUCUCUCAUUGGCAGCCAUCUUGAAGAGACUAAUGUAGAAACGUGUGUGCAUGUCUGGCAGCCUCUCUCUGUUCUUGGACACUUUGCUGUGUGCUCUGGCUCCUCUAAUGUGCCUCACAACACAGAUACCUGAGCUGACUAGCUGCACAGAGCACACACUGGUGAGCAGGGCAGCACUCUCAAAUCAAAUGCUUUGCACUGUGCCUCCACUCUGGAAAAUGUUGCUUAUUUGAUGCCUGGGCUUUAGAUGAAGGUGGAAGACUCAGUCCAUUCUUCACCAAGAUGAUCCAUGGAUAGAUGC